GGUCUUGUACACACCGCCCGUCACACCACGAGAGUUUGUAACACCCGAAGCCGGUGGAGUAACCUUUUAGGAGCUAGCCGUCGAAGGUGGGACAAAUGAUUGGGGUGAAGUCGUAACAAGGUAGCCGUAUCGGAAGGUGCGGCUGGAUCACCUCCUUUCUAAGGA
rnacentral:rRNA from 1 species